GAUGAGCAUGAUCGACCCUCUUGCUCUUUCUGGAAGUCUCUACCUGCACCGACAUCUUACUCUUCCAGACUAUCAAGGUCAGCCACUAAGAUCAACACCGAUAUAAUUAUACGUUUUCAGACUAUCAACUGACUGCUCAAGAAAGAGAAGAAGGAGUUUAACGGUUUGAUUAGACUCUUGAGGCCUAAAGUCUACAUCACUGACUGCUCAAGCUUCAAGACCCUUGUGCAAGACCUCAUCGGCAAUGGAAGCUCUAAUAUCUCAAUCGCUACUUCCUGAUCACACCUCAGUAACGGGGUACCAGUUGUAGAUGUUCAUGAGGAGUAUCAAGAAGAGCCUGAACGGAGUACUAGUGUCAGUAGUGUGGAUGUCUCAACUGAUGCAUCAUUUGAUUCUUCUGAGCUGUGGAACCAAGAAAUGUUUAUAAAUGACCAAGAAUUAAACCAACCGUGUUACCAGAUGUAUUCAGACGAUACUAUAACAACAAAUAUAUUUGAAGGUUCAUCACCUUCUGCAGCGGACCAAAUGGUGGAUAUGUUGCCAAUUCAAGAUCUUGAGUCACUUUUGGGGACUGAGCCUUUUGAUCCCUUCGACGUUAAUGGUUAUGGUCAGAUAAGAGGUCAGCAUAUUUUACUAUGAGCUGUCAGGGCUACUAUGAUCAGAUUGUUUGUUCUUCGAGUAUUCAUUCUGUAGACUAAUAUUCUUCCCCUCUUCACACUUCAGUACAUUUACAUAUAUGUACAUAGCAAUAGAACUAUUUACUCAACUUGUGUUAAUUAAUACUUUGUAUAGAGAGAGCCCAUUUUUGCUUUUGCAAAUUACUGUAUAUAA